UACGAAGGGGGCUAGCGUUGCUCGGAAUCACUGGGCGUAAAGGGUGCGUAGGCGGGUUUUAAGUCAGGGGGUGAAAUCCUGGAGCUCAACUCCAGAACUGCCUUUGAUACUGGCGAUCUCGAGUCCGGGAGAGGUGAGUGGAACUGCGAGUGUAGAGGUGAAAUUCGUAGAUAUUCGCAAGAACACCAGUGGCGAAGGCGGCUCUCCUAGUACGGGUACUGACGCUGAGACGCGAAAGCGUGGGGAGCGAACAGG
rnacentral:rRNA from 1 species